rnacentral:rRNA from 1 species
CGAUAACGAACGAGACCUUAACCUGCUAAAUAGCCAGGACGGCUUUUGCUGGCCGCUGGCUUCUUAGAGGGACUGUCAGCGUCUAGCUGACGGAAGUUUGAGGCAAUAACAGGUCUGUGAUACCCUUAGAUGUUCUGGGCCGCACGCGCGCUACACUGACAGAGCCAGCGAGUUUUUCACCUUGGCCGGAAGGUCUGGGAAAUCUUGUGAAACUCUGUCGUGCUGGGGAUAGAGCAUUGCAAUUAUUGCUCUUCAACGAGGAAUACCUAGUAAGCGUGAGUAAUCAGCUCGCGUUGAUUACGUCCCUGCCCUUUGUACACACCGCCCGUCGCUACUACCGAUUGAAUGGCU